CGGAGGGUGCGAGCGUUGUCCGGAAUCACUGGGCGUAAAGGGCGCGUAGGUGGCCGAGCAAGGUCGCGGUGAAAGCCCGGGGCUCAACCCCGGGUCGGCCGUGGCAACUACUCGGCUGGAGCACUGUAGGGGCGGGUGGAAUUCCGGGUGUAGCGGUGGAAUGCGUAGAGAUCCGGAAGAACACCGGUGGCGAAGGCGGCCCGCUGGGCAGUUGCUGACACUGAGGCGCGACAGCGUGGGGAGCAAACAGGAUUAGAUACCCUGGUAGUCCACGCCGUAAACGAUGGGCACUAGAUGCUUGGGGGAGCGACCCUCCGAGUGUCGGCGCUAACGCAUUAAGUGCCCCGCCUGGGGAGUACGGCCGCAAGGCUG
rnacentral:rRNA from 1 species